rnacentral:rRNA from 1 species
AGAACGAACGCUGGCGGCAUGCCUAAUACAUGCAAGUCGAACGAACUCUUCGGAGUUAGUGGCGCACGGGUGCGUAACGCGUGGGAAUCUGCCCCUUGGUUCGGAAUAACAGUUGGAAACGACUGCUAAUACCGGAUGAUGACGAAAGUCCAAAGAUUUAUCGCCAAGGGAUGAGCCCGCGUAGGAUUAGCUAGUUGGUGAGGUAAAGGCUCACCAAGGCAACGAUCCUUAACUGGUCUGAGAGGAUGAUCAGUCACACUGGAACUGAGACACGGUCCAGACUCCUACGGGAGGCAGCAGUGGGGAAUAUUGGACAAUGGGCGAAAGCCUGAUCCAGCCAUGCCGCGUGUGUGAAGAAGGUCCUCGGAUUGUAAAGCACUUUAGUAAAAGGG